AGCGGCGGACGGGUGAGUAACGCGUGGGUAACCUGCCUCAUACAGGGGGAUAACAGUUGGAAACGGCUGCUAAUACCGCAUAAGCGCACAGUACCGCAUGGUACGGUGUGAAAAACUCCGGUGGUAUGAGAUGGACCCGCGUCUGAUUAGGUAGUUGGUGGGGUAACGGCCUACCAAGCCGACGAUCAGUAGCCGACCUGAGAGGGUGACCGGCCACACUGGGACUGAGACACGGCCCAG
rnacentral:rRNA from 1 species